CGAGGGAUAGCAAUAUCACUGGCGGACGGGUGAGUAACACGUAGGUGAUCUGCCCCUAUCACAGACAUAACGUCGGGAAACCGGCGCUAAUAUCUGAUGAGGUCGAGAGAUCAAAGCCUUUGGGCGGAUAGGGAUGAGCCUGCGUCUGAUUAGCUAGUUGGUGAGGUAACGGCUCACCAAGGCCACGAUCAGUAGCUGGUCUGAGAGGACGAACAGCCACACUGGAACUGAGACACGGUCCAGACUCCUACGGGAGGCAGCAGUGAGGAAUAUUGGUCAAUGGGAGCAAUCCUGAACCAGCAAUGCCGCGUGUGGGAUGACGGGGCUCAGCCCUGUAAACCACUGUCGGACGGGACGAAAGGAGCCUUCAGGGCUCUGGGACGGUACCGUCAAAGGAAGGGUCGGCUAACUACGUGCCAGCAGCCGCGGUAAUACGUAGGACCCGAGCGUUGUCCGGAAUUACUGGGUAUAAAGGGUGCGCAGGCGGCCGUGUGCGUCAGAGGUGAAAUCUCCGGGCUUAACCCGGAGGGUGCCUUUGAUACGGCAUGGCUUGAGUCCGAGAGAGGGUGAUGGAAUUCCUGGUGUAGCAGUGAAAUGCGUAGAUAUCAGGAGGAACACCGGUGGCGAAGGCGGUCACCUGGCUCGGCACUACGCUAGGCAC
rnacentral:rRNA from 1 species